UACGUAGGGUGCAAGCGUUGUCCGGAAUUAUUGGGCGUAAAGAGCUCGUAGGCGGUCUGUCGCGUCGGCUGUGAAAACUCGGGGCUCAACCCCGAGCCUGCAGUCGAUACGGGCAGACUAGAGUGCGGUAGGGGAGACUGGAAUUCCUGGUGUAGCGGUGAAAUGCGCAGAUAUCAGGAGGAAUACCGAUGGCGAAGGCAGGUCUCUGGGCUGACACUGACGCUCAUGCACGAAAGCGUGGGGAGCAAACAGG
rnacentral:rRNA from 1 species